rnacentral:rRNA from 1 species
UACGAAGGGGGCUAGCGUUGCUCGGAAUCACUGGGCGUAAAGCGCACGUAGGCGGCUUUUUAAGUCAGAGGUGAAAUCCUGGAGCUCAACUCCAGAACUGCCUUUGAUACUGGAGAGCUUGAGUCCGGGAGAGGUGAGUGGAACUGCGAGUGUAGAGGUGAAAUUCGUAGAUAUUCGCAAGAACACCAGUGGCGAAGGCGGCUCACUGGCCCGGUACUGACGCUGAGGUGCGAAAGCGUGGGGAGCAAAAGGG